AGAGUUUGAUUAUGGCUCAGGAUGAACGCUGGCGGCGUGCCUAACACAUGCAAGUCGAGCGGAGAUAGUUGAAGCCUAGCGAUGACUAUCUUAGCGGCGGAUGGGUGAGUAACACGUGGGUAACCUGCCCUGUACUGGGGAAUAACAGCUGGAAACGGCUGUUAAUGCCGCAUAUGCGCACGGAGCCGCAUGGCCCUGGGCGGAAAGAUUUAUCGGUACAGGAUGGGCCCGCGUCGGAUUAACUAGUUGGCGGGGUAACGGCCCACCAAGGUGAUGAUCCGUAGCCGACCUGAGAGGGUGACCGGCCACAUUGGGACUGAGACACGGCCCAAACUCCUACGGGAGGCAGCAGUGGGGGAUAUUGCACAAUGGGGGAAACCCUGAUGCCAGCGACGCCGCGUGAAGGAUGACGUAUUUCGGUAUGUAAACUUCUAUCAGCGGGGAAGAAGAUGACGGUACCCGACUAAGAAGCCCCGGCUAACUACGUGCCAGCAGCAGC
rnacentral:rRNA from 1 species